rnacentral:ribozyme from 2 species
UGCAGAUGGGCGGCCUUAUGGCCGUUAAUGCGCUCCCGGAUACCGGGAACCCGUCCAAAGCCGGG